rnacentral:rRNA from 1 species
AACGAACGCUGGCGGCAGGCUUAACACAUGCAAGUCGAGCGCCCCGCUAGGGGAGCGGCAGACGGGUGAGUAACACGUGGGAAUCUACCCAUCCCUACGGAACAACUCCGGGAAACUGGAGCGAAUACCGGAUACGCCCUUUGGGGCACAGAUCUAUCGGGGAAGGAUGAGACCGCGUGGGAUUAGCUAGUUGGUGGGGUAAAGGCCUACCAAGGCGACGAGCCAUAGCUGGUCUGGGAGGAUGAUCAGCCACAGUGGGCCUGAGACACGGCCCACACUCCUACGGGAGGGAGCAGUGGGGAAUAUUGGAAAAUGGGCGCAAGCCUGAUCCAGCCAUGCCGCGUGAGUGAUGAAGGCCUUAGGGUUGUAAAGCUCUUUCACCGAUGAAGAUAAUGACGGUAGUCGGAGAAGAAGCCCCGGCUAACUUCGUGCCAGCAGCCGCGGUAAGAC